rnacentral:lncRNA from 1 species
AUGCUGUGCCCGGAAGCCUGGGGACAGCUGUUCCUAAUACGCCCUUUGCCCCUGCUGCCCCCUAAAACUACAGUAGGGCGCCAGUGACACGGUGUCCCCUUUCCCAGAAGUGGGCAAAAUUACACUUUGUGAACCCGUUAGGUUUGUGUCACAAGAGUGCUCUCCAAGGUAUUCGCCCAGAAGCCUCAGGUCAGUAAGAGUGAUGGAGAGCUCAGAAGGCGUGGCCUGACCCCCAUCUUACUGGAGCAGCUGUUUUGAUCCGCUUUAUAUCUGGGGGAUCUGAAAGAGGUUUGGGGGGAGGGAGUUCUGUUGUUAAAAAUAGAAUGUUUGUAAUACACUCCUGAAAUAUCAGAUUUGGCACAUCCAUACCCAAGAUGGGCUGAAAUGAAAUAGGUCUUCUAGAUCCUGAGACCCAGCAAGCUGGUUUUAUUCUUGAUGUUCUCUGCUUCCCUUCUCCGAACCGAUGUCUCCUUAUAACUCUUUCCAUGUGUGUUCAAAUCAGCAUCGUCCUCCCAGUAAUGGCUGUGAGAGGGAGAGCUAACGUUUUUCUAUUGUGUGACAGGUGAUGUGCUGGGUGUUUACUGGUCCCUCGGCAGCCCUUUGAGCAGACAGUCACUGUCCUCAGUUCAGCCGAAAACAGUGAAACAGAAACACAAGAGUUAUAACCAAAACAUCAGCAACCACCGCUUGCCCAGUGCUCGUAAGUGGCAGACCAGACCAUAGCCCAGAUGGGCUCAAGCACAGUCAAAUCAGCAUUGCUCAAAGCAGGCAAGGCACUCACAAAAGCAUAAAUAAAGCGAAAUGGAGACAGGAUCUUAGCAUUUUGCAAGGCCUCAGUGCAGAGUGGAAGCAAAGGAAAUCAAGAGACUUAAAUGCACCAGGAGCCAUUGCACGACAAGCUUCUUUCUCAUUUGUCUUCAUCAGAAGAAUUUCAAGAUCGAAACAUCGAAUCGACGCUCGCUGAUCACUGAUAGGAAGAUU